rnacentral:rRNA from 1 species
UGCCAAUUGAGGAUUUAAAAGGCUGCAGUAUAUUGACUGUACAAAGGUAGCAUAAUCAUUAGUUUCUUAAUUAGAAGCUAGAAUGAAUGGUUUGACAAAAAAAAAUCUGUCUCUUAUUGAAAUUUAAAAUUUUAUUUUUAAGUUAAAAAGCUUAAAUAUUUUAAAAAGACGAGAAGACCCUAUAGAGUUUAAUAAAUUAAUAUUUAAAAAUAUUAGGAUUUAUUAGUUUAAUUGUUAAAUUUAUUUUAUUGGGGUGAUAGAAAAAUUUAUUUAACUUUUUUUAUAUAAAAACAUUAAUUUAUGGUUUAUUGAUCCAAUUUUUAUUGAUUAUAAGAAAAAUUACCUUAGGGAUAACAGCGUUAUUUUUCUUUAAAGUUCAAAUUAAAAGAAAAUUUUGCGACCU